rnacentral:lncRNA from 1 species
UUGUUAAUUGGAAAGGGUAUUAUGGGUAAUUGACCAUAAUGUGAAGUAGGGUUGGAAUAGGAUUAGUAGGUAUAUAUACUAUCUAUUGUAAAGCCCUGUGUAACCAAAGAAUCAUCAAUAAACAACAAGCCGCCUGUGGAGUACCCAAAUUGGGGAACCACGUAAAUCUCUUGUGUUCUUCUUAAUUCUAUAUCGUUUGUGUGCGUGUGUGUGAUCCUAUAUUCUAA